UCCUCCCUCAAACCCCAGGUUUGGUGUUGGACCUGAGUUGUGUGAACAACUGGUCUCAAAGACAAUGACGGCGUCCGUGGGACCCUCGGUGCAACGAGCUUUUAGGAGCACGCAUCGAGUUGCAAGGACCUUCCGGGCCGGUCUCCUUUACUAUUUUACAA
rnacentral:misc_RNA from 2 species